CACGUAGUUAGCCGGGGCUUCUUAGUCAGGUACUGUCAUCUUCUUCCCUGCUGAUAGGGCUUUACAUACCGAAAUACUUCUUCACCCACGCGGCGUCGCUGCAUCAGGGUUUCCCCCAUUGUGCAAUAUUCCCCACUGCUGCCUCCCGUAGGAGUUUGGGCCGUGCCUCAGUCCCAAUGUGGCCGGUCACCCUCUCAGGUCGGCUACUGAUCGUCGGUUGGUGGGCCGUUACCCGCAACUGCCUAAUCAGACGCGGGGCCAUCUCAUACCACCGGAGUUUUUCACACUGUACCAUGCGGCACUGUGCGCUAUGCGGCAUUAGCAGUCAUUUCUAACUGUUACUUCCCCUGUAUGAGGCACGGUUCCCCAGCGUUACUCACCCGUCCGCCGCUCAGUCACAUGGCCUUUCCAUCCGUAAAAUUCAAAUCAUGUGUCUUCGCUCGACUUGCAUGUGUUAAGCUACGCCGCAGUCGUUCACUCCUAGACGCA
rnacentral:rRNA from 1 species